CUUAGCAGUUCUUGAUGGUCUUGUAUGUAUAUAUUGAAACUCUAGUUUUAACUUAGUUCUGAAUUCUAGAAAUUUUAGCUGUAAACGGUUGGAGUUUAGUUUACACCAAGAACAAGAAUAAGAAGAGCAAACAAAAAUUCAUAAGUCCUCUGCUACCUUACUUUUAUUGCCAUUUGCUGUUGCAGCUGCUUGUUUCACCGCUUAUUCCUUCCGGUGCUGCCGCUCGAAUUGCUUCAAUUCUUCCUGCCAAUUUUGAUACUUCAAUUAGUUGCUUGCUUUGAGGUUAGUUCAAUUAAUGGUAAAUUUAGGCAGAGUUGCAGGCAUUAUCUUACUGGAUACACAGGCAUAUGGCCUGUAAAGUUUAACCUACAAUCUCCAUGCUCACAUCUUCAUUGGCCUGUAAUAUACCUAAACUGCGUUUUGGAAGAAACAACAAAAGCCUUUAUAUGGGUGUGAAAGAUCCAAAGUGCAGUAGUGUUAGUUACACAACAGGAAAUAGGAAGGCUAACCCUAACACGGUACAUGACAUAUUAUGUGGAAGAAUGGUCCAGGAGGAAGGUCUUGUUUUCCAGCAAGAAUUGGUGGUUAGAUCCUUUGAUAUAGGCACUGAUAGCAAAAUGUCCAUAGUGGCCUGGGCAAAUUAUUACAGGUUCUCAGUCUGCUUUCUUUUAUCAUAUAUCAUCCAGCAAUUACAUAUAUAUAUUUAUAUAUAUAUAUAUACUCGCGUAUACUCACGUGUUUAUUGAUGUAGGAAACAUUACUUAACCAUUUUGAGAAGGUAGGAGUAUUGUCAGAUGGCUUUUCAACAGUGGAGAUGAGUAGAAGAGAUAUUGUUUGGGUGUUGUAUAAGAGAUGGAUAUCAUCGUAGAUCGUUUUCCUUCAUGAACCUGGAGAAUCGAGACACAUCUAAGCUGAUCGAGACGAUGCAAAUUCGACCUAACAAAACUGGAGAAAGACCAAUGGUGGUCCGACAGCGGAGGCUGUUGGUGGUCCAACGGUGAUGGUUGACAAUAUUGGCUGACAGUGGUGGUCCGAUGGCGGCCCAACGACUGUGAAAAAACGAUGACAACAUGAACUGGUACGGCAAUGAAAGUCUGUGGUGGCAAAAUAGGAGACCCAAAGUAUGCUUUGAGGUGACUUUUGUAAUUUUUGUUAUUUUUCUAGGAUGAAAUCAAAAAAACUUUGGUUGCUAA